rnacentral:tRNA from 1 species
GCCCAGGUGGUGAAAUUGGUAGACGCAGGGGACUCAAAAUCCCCCGCCGAAAGGCGUGCCGGUUCGAUUCCGGCCCCGGGCACCA